GUGGGGAAUCUUGCGCAAUGGGCGAAAGCCUGACGCAGCCAUGCCGCGUGAAUGAUGAAGGUCUUAGGAUUGUAAAAUUCUUUCACCGGGGACGAUAAUGACGGUACCCGGAGAAGAAGCCCCGGCUAACUUCGUGCCAGCAGCCGCGGUAAUACGAAGGGGGCUAGCGUUGCUCGGAAUUACUGGACGUAAAGGGCGCGUAGGCGGACAGUUUAGUCAGAGGUGAAAGCCCAGGGCUCAACCUUGGAAUUGCCUUUGAUACUGGCUGUCUUGAGUACGGGAGAGGUGAGGGGAACUCCGAGUGUAGAGGUGAAAUUCGUAGAUAUUCGGAAGAACACCAGUGGCGAAGGCGACUCACUGGCCCGUUACUGACGCUGAGGCGCGAAAGCGUGGGGAGCAAACAGGAUUAGAAACCCGGGUAGUCC
rnacentral:rRNA from 1 species